CCUACGGGUGGCUGCAGUCGAGAAUCUUCCGCAAUGGGCGCAAGCCUGACGGAGCGACGCCGCGUGGAGGACGAAGGCCUUCGGGUUGUAAACUCCUGUCACGGGUUAUGAAUGGCGUAGUGUGAAUAGCACUACGAGUGACGUAAGCCCGAGAGGAAGCACUGGCUAACUCUGUGCCAGCAGCCGCGGUAAUACAGAGAGUGCAAACGUUGUUCGGAAUUACUGGGCUUAAAGCGCACGUAGGCGGCGCCGCAAGUGCUGGGUGAAAUCCCACGGCUUACCCGUGGAACCGCCUGGCAGACUGCGGUGCUUGAGGAUGGUAGGGGAGAGCGGAACUCCUGGUGGAGCGGUGAAAUGCGUAGAUAUCAGGAGGAACACCGGUGGCGAAGGCGGCUCUCUGGUCCAUUUCUGACGCUGAGGUGCGAAAGCUAGGGGAGCAAACGGGAUUAGAUACCCGAGUAGUC
rnacentral:rRNA from 1 species